rnacentral:rRNA from 1 species
GAUGAACGCUAGCGGCGUGCCUAAUACAUGCAAGUCGAGCGAACGGACGAGAAGCUUGCUUAUCUGAUUUUAGCGGCGGACGGGUGAGUAACACGUGGAUAACCUACCUAUAAUACUGGGAUAACUUCGGGCGACCGGCGCUCUUACACUGUGAUAGUUUGAACCGCAUGAUUCAGAAGUGAAAGACGGUCUUGCUGUUACGUAUAGAUUGAUCCGCGCUGCAUUAGCUAUGUGGUAAGGUAACGCCUUACCAAGGCAACGAUGCAUAGCCGACGGGAGAGGGUGGUCGGACACACCAGAACUGAGACACGGCACGGACUAGUACGGGAGGCAGCAGUAGAGAAUCGUCCACAGUGGGCGAAAGCCGGACGGAGCAAAGCCGCGUGAGGUAAGAAGGUCUUCGGAUCGGAAAACUCUGUUAUUAGUGAAGAACAAAUGCGUGAGUAACGGGUGACAUCCUGACGGUACCUAAUGAAUAAGCCACGGCUAACUACGUG